rnacentral:sRNA from 1 species
UUUUAGCCUUGAUAGCAGUGGAAAGCCUUUGCGAGGUGAAAACCAUUUUUUUCUGGUUGUGGUAGAGCGACCGUAGGAAGCUCCUGCCCUAACCUAGAAAAAAGGUUUGAUACUUCAAAGCUUGAAACGGAUAGCGAGAAUUGCU